CGCGGGAUGGAGCAGCUCGGUAGCUCGUCGGGCUCAUAACCCGAAGGUC
rnacentral:tRNA from 1 species